AGCAGCCGCCACGGUAAUACGGAGGAUCCAAGCGUUAUCCGGAAUCAUUGGGUUUAAAGGGUCCGUAGGCGGUCUUGUAAGUCAGUGGUGAAAGCCCAUCGCUCAACGGUGGAACGGCCAUUGAUACUGCAGGACUUGAAUUAUUGGGAAGUAACUAGAAUAUGUAGUGUAGCGGUGAAAUGCUUAGAGAUUACAUGGAAUACCAAUUGCGAAGGCAGGUUACUACCAAUUGAUUGACGCUGAUGGACGAAAGCGUGGGUAGCGAACAGGAUUAGAUACCCGCGUAGUCCCUGUCUCUUAUAC
rnacentral:rRNA from 1 species